CAAAGCCUCAGUGUGGUUUCAGCGCUGAGAGAGGGAGGAGCUGCAGAGAACGGGUGCAUUCCCAGCUCCUGACACCAGGGGGCGGGUGAGAGCAUGAACAUCAAGCUACAAAACUUCCAUUCUUGAGGGAUCUGGAAUCAGAGCUUCAUAGAAUUUCACAACAAAUGCAGUUCAUUGCUUGUGUGGCUGUACUGUACAUACCAUAUAUAGAUCUGUUUGGCUUAUGCUCACUGGAUUCAACACCAGUAACUGUGCUGUUGUUUUGUUUGUUGUUUAUUAUUUUAAUGAUUAUUAAAUUAUGUGAAUGGCUUCAUAA